GUGGGGAAUCUUGCGCAAUGGGCGAAAGCCUGACGCAGCCAUGCCGCGUGGAUGAUGAAGGUCUUAGGAUUGUAAAAUCCUUUCACCGGUGAAGAUAAUGACUGUAGCCGGAGAAGAAGCCCCGGCUAACUUCGUGCCAGCAGCCGCGGUAAUACGAAGGGGGCUAGCGUUGCUCGGAUUUACUGGGCGUAAAGGGCGCGUAGGCGGACAUUUAAGUCAGGUGUGAAAUCCCGGGGCUCAACCUCGGAACUGCCUUUGAUACUGGGUGUCUUGAGUGUGAGAGAGGUAUGUGGAACUCCGAGUGUAGAGGUGAAAUUCGUAGAUAUUCGGAAGAACACCAGUGGCGAAGGCGACAUACUGGCUCAUUACUGACGCUGAGGCUCGAAAGCGUGGGGAGCAAACAGGAUUAGAUACCCGAGUAGUCC
rnacentral:rRNA from 1 species